rfam:{defective interfering RNA} [cymbidium ringspot tombusvirus CyRSV, DI-371, Other Genetic Material RNA Complete, 477 nt].
AGCUAGUAGGACAGACUCUUCAGUCUAGGUUGGUGGAAGCAGGAGAACACUGCUUGACUAGCGGAGA